UACGUAGGUGGCAAGCGUUGUCCGGAUUUACUGGGCGUAAAGAGCGCGCAGGCGGUCGAUUUAGUCGCGUGUGAAAGCCCCCGGCUCAACUGGGGAGGGUCACGCGAUACUGAUCGACUCGAAGGCAGGAGAGGGUAGUGGAAUUCCCGGUGUAGUGGUGAAAUGCGUAGAUAUCGGGAGGAACACCAGUGGCGAAGGCAGCCAUCUGGACCGACACUGACGCUGAGGCGCGAAAGCGUGGGGAGCGAACAGG
rnacentral:rRNA from 1 species